AUUGAACGCUGGCGGCAUGCCUUACACAUGCAAGUCGAGCGGAGCAAGGGUGCUUGCACCUUAGCUUAGCGGCGGACGGGUGAGUAAUGCUUAGGAAUCUGCCUAUUAGUGGAGGACAACAUUCCGAAAGGAAUGCUAAUACCGCAUACGCCCUACGGGGAAAGUGGGGGACCUUCGGGCCUCACGCUAUUCGAGCGGCCGACGUCUGAUUAGCUAGUAGGUGAGGUAAAGGCUCACCUAGGCGACGAUCAGUAGCGGGUCUGAGAGGAUGAUCCGCCACACUGGGACUGAGACACGGCCCAGACUCCUACGGGAGGCAGCAGUGGGGAAUUUUGGACAAUGGGCGAAAGCCUGAUCCAGCCAUGCCGCGUGUCUGAAGAAGGCCUUCGGGUUGUAAAGGACUUUUGUCAGGGAGGAAAUCCCUAGUGCUAAUAACACUGGGGGAUGACAGUACCUGAAGAAUAAGCACCGGCUAACUACGUGCCAGCCGCCGCGGUAA
rnacentral:rRNA from 1 species